AAGCAGAAACAUGUUGUUCACCGUCGUCCCACAAAACCCUUCCUUUCUUCCCAUCUCCAACUCCCCGGAACUCGUCUUUUUUCCUUGACAAAAGACAGCGUUUUUCCUUCCGAACACUUAAAUGCUCCGUCGAUUACAGAGACCAAAACUACAACCUUCAAGCUUCGUACCCAAGACCUUCAGAAAUCCCGUGGAGCAAGGACCUCUACAAUACGGUGCACCUAAUCGGAAAUGUUGGUGCCCCCGUCGGAAUCAAACACUUGCCUUCCGGCAAAGUCCUCGCCUGGACUCGACUUGCCGUCAGAAAAUCCGCCACCGAUACUAAUUGGAUUAAUUUGACAUUCUGGGACGAGCUUGCUAAUACUGCGUAUCAGCAUGUUGAGAAAGGGCAACAACUAUAUGUAUCUGGUCGUCUGGUUUCGGAUACGGUUGAAAGCGACGAUGGCAAACUGCAAACUAUUACAAGAUAGUUGUCCAACAAAUAAAUUUCAUCGAAAGGAACUCGUCCUCUGCGGCUUCAUAUGAACGUGUAUUCGGUGGUAAGUCAGAUAGGAAAUUUGGCAACAAUGGUGCAAAUAAUACCGGAUCUCCUAUGGAACUAUGACAAGCCUCUUUUGCCAAUCCUACUGAAUGGUGGGAUAAUAGGCAGAACAAGAGGAACCCUAAAUAUCCGGAUUUUAAACACAAGGACACUGGAGAAGCUCUGUGGAUUGAAGGUAGGAAUACUCCCCACUGGGUGAAAUCCCAGUUGGAGAUACUAGAUUCUAAAAUAAGCUCUCUGCAAGAUGAGGAUGAAAGGAAGUUUUCUUUGAUGGCUGGUGACGAUCUCUUGCCUUUCUAAUGGUUUAUACUAGUAGUGUAUAAUGAUGGUGCUAUAGGUUGAUUAAUCUGGCAAGGUGCUUUGCAUUCUGGAUGUGUAAGUUUUUGUAAGUCUCAAUAGCCGGAAGAUGUUGUUCUGUAA